rnacentral:RNase_P_RNA from 1 species
GCAGUUGGUCGGUCUGUCGCUUGCGCCUCGUGCGUAUGAGGAAAGUCCGGGCAACACAGAGCGUCCCACUUCCUAACAGAAAGCUGUCCGUGAGGGUAGAGUAACGUAGAAGAAAAUAACCGCCGUCGCCCUUGGGGCUACGGUAAGGGUGAGAAGGUGGGGUAAGAGCCUACCAGUCUUGUGGCGACACAAGGGCUGUGCGUCUUGGGAGUUGUAAGGUCAUGUAAACCGACGUUAUGAGAGUUGCUCGCUCCAUGUCGGAGGGUAGACCGCUAAAGCUUGUAUGGUGACAUGCGGCUCAGAUAAAUGACAGACACUUCUUUAAUGGAGAAUGGAUAAUGAAGAAUGGAUAAUUCCUAAUUAGGCUUUUUCAGAAACAGAAGAACAGAACCCGGCUUACAGACUGACUGCUUUU